rnacentral:rRNA from 1 species
CCCUUAAUAUUUAUAGUUAAUAUUUUUAUAGCAAACUUUUAUUUUUCAAACUUUUUAUUGUUUUUGUCCAUAUUAUCUAAUGUGUCUUGGUUAUUUUUAUUUCUGAUUUACAUAGUUUUAAAGAAUAUACAUGGGUUUUUUAUUUUAUUCAAAAUUAAAUAAAAGGUUUUCUCUUUAUUUAGUUUUACUUAAAAUAAGUAAAAGGCUUUUUCUUUUACAUAUUUAAUAAAAAUUUGUACGAAAGAAAUUAAUCAUUAUUAUUUUAAAUUAUUUUUUAUGCAGUGUUAACCCUAUGCAAUAGGUAUUAUAUACCAAAAGAAUUUAAAUUACCUGCCUAAAUAAUCUAGUGUCAGGGUUAAAGAUAUAAUAGUCCUAUGCGAUUUUUAUAAAAUAAGUAGUAUUAUGGUUUAUAGCGUU